rnacentral:rRNA from 1 species
UACGGAGGAGGCAAGCGUUAUCCGGAAUUAUUGGGCGUAAAGCGUCCGUAGGUGGGUGAGGAAGUCUGCUGUUAAAGAGUGAGGCUUAACCUCAUAAGGGCAGUGGAAACUCUUCGUCUAGAGUGCGACAGGGGCAAGGGGAAUUCCUAGUGUAGCGGUGAAAUGCGUAGAGAUUAGGAAGAACACCGGUGGCGAAAGCGCCUUGCUGGGUCUGCACUGACACUGAGGGACGAAAGCUAGGGGAGCGAAAGGA